GUAGAGAGGGAGGAAAUUGAGAGACUUUUUUGUGAUGUGAGCAGUGCGAAAGAGUAGUUGGACUUCUCUUCCAAUCUUUAUAACAACCCAUUUCUCUCUCUCUCUCUACAAUUCAGUAACCCUAGCUAGCUGUGGCUCAAAUGGGCUCUGAGGGAUCCAGUGUUGUCGUUCCUAGGAAUUUCAGAUUACUAGAAGAGCUCGAGAGAGGUGAAAAAGGAAUUGGGGAUGGAACUGUCAGCUAUGGAAUGGAUGAUGCGGAUGAUAUCUAUAUGCAAUCAUGGACAGGGACUAUUAUUGGUCCCCCAAAUACUGUUCAUGAAGGGAGAAUCUACCAGUUGAAACUGUUUUGUGGGAAGGAUUAUCCAGAUAACCCACCAACUGUUAGGUUCCAAACCCGGAUAAACAUGACUUGUAUCAAUCAGGAAACUGGAGUGGUUGAACCUAGCCUAUUUCCAAUGCUUGCUAAUUGGCAAAGGGAGCAUACAAUGGAGGAUAUAUUGACUCAACUAAAGAAAGAAAUGAUGUCUCCCCAAAAUCGGAAGCUAGCUCAGCCUCCUGAAGGCAAUGAAGAGGGAAGGACGGAUCAAAAGGGUCUAGUGCUGAAAUGUUGUAUUAUGUGAGUCAGGCCCUCUAAAACCUGUGCACUGGAAAGCUUUCCAAGUAAUGAGCUUGGUCUUGUGGACAAAUGAUUUAUAUUCAUGACACUCCAUUUCUUGCAAGAGCGGGAUGGAGGGUAGGUUUUGGGUUGAAGACAGACACGUACGGCAUGUCUCAUCACCAAUUAUAAAAAGAGAGAAGAAGAUAAGAAUGGGUCCAGUAAAGCAUUGCAAUGUCAAGGACAACAACAGUGAAUUAGAACUGGGUUCAGGCAUUAGUGCUGGUCCUACUGGUUAGACAUCAUGGCCCGACCUUUCUUUCUUUCUUUCUUUUUCAUUUCAAUACUUUCCUCAUUUCUUCAGGUGCUUGUUAGAAAGUUAAGAAGGUAAGGUUGUUUUUUAUUUGGAGGUUGUAAAUGUCUCACCACUUUCUAAAUUGAAGCAAAACAUAACUAGUUUUUUUUU